rnacentral:rRNA from 1 species
AUGGGCGGCCUGGGUUUCCGAGAUAUAGAGCUGUUCAACCUGGCUCUUCUUUCCCGGCAAGCGUGGAGGGUGAUGCAGCAGUCGUAAUCCCUUAGCGCUCGCGUUCUGAAAGCUCGUUACUUCCAAAACACUGAUCUGAUGAACGCAACACUUGGCAGCGCUCCUUCGCAGGGGCUUAUCAAGAUAAUCGGCACCGGAGCAGCCACGCACAUUUGGCAGGAUAAUUGGCCGCCGAGAGACUAUAAGAUGAGGCCCAUUUGCGCCUGAUCAGCGAACCCGCCGAUGGCGGUUUCAGAACUUAUCAAUCCAGUCACGCGAUCAUGGAACCGGCAAGCCCUAACAAAGCACUUCAUACCUGCUGAUGUCGACGUUAUCCUCAAUAUACCGCUCAGUACAAGGCAACAGGAGGACUUUUGGGCUUGGCAUUAUGAUAAGCGAGGUAUCUUCUCGGUACGGUCAACAUAUAGGAUGAUUUGUGCUAUCAAAACACAAAGAGAGGAUUGGCUAGAACAUCGUCCGGGCCAUUCUAAUAUUGCCGCGGACAAAAAUUCUUGGUCCCAGCUUUGGAAGGUGAAGGUUCCUUCAAAAAUACGAGUUUUUGUAUGGAGUUUGGCGCAUACUUCAAUCCCUAUCGGCCUGGUGAGACAUGAAAGGCAUAUGGCAGAUUCUCCAUCUUGUUCUACCUGUGGAGCGGAGGAGGAUACAUGGCGCCACUCGCUACUGAGCUGCCGCAUGGCGAGAUGUGUUUGGGCUUUGGAGGAUGAUGAACUGGUCGAGCAUGUGAUAUCAAACCAAACCGAAGACGCGAGACUUUGGCUGUUCUGGUUGUUUGAGACUACAAGUCAACAUGACCUAGCUCGAAUCCUAGUGACCAUGUGGGCAAUUUGGUGGGCAGGAGGAAGGCCAUCCACGAGAAUGAAUUUUAGAGUCCGCUUUCCACUAUGA